rnacentral:rRNA from 1 species
UACGUAGGGCGCAAGCGUUGUCCGGAAUUAUUGGGCGUAAAGAGCUCGUAGGCGGUUUGUCGCGUCUGCUGUGAAAACCUCAGGCUCAACCUGGGGCUUGCAGUGGGUACGGGCAGACUAGAGUGCGGUAGGGGGUGACUGGAAUUCCUGGUGUAGCGGUGGAAUGCGCAGAUAUCAGGAGGAACACCGAUGGCGAAGGCAGGUCACUGGGCCGCAACUGACGCU